rnacentral:lncRNA from 1 species
AAGUUCUGACUCUGAUCAAAGAAAGACAGUAAAAAGAAACCAGAAGCUCUAAUCAACUACUGGUCUUAGAAUCUGAUGAUCAAGAAGACUAGUAUUCUGAGAAGCUUAAGGAAGAAGUACGUCAAAGAAGUUCUGACUCUGAUCAAAGAAAGACAGUAAAAAGAAACCAGAAGCUCUAAUCAACUACUGGUCUUAGAAUCUGAUGAUCAAGAAGACUAGUAUUCUGAGAAGCUCUA